rnacentral:rRNA from 1 species
UACGUAGGUGGCAAGCGUUGUCCGGAAUUACUGGGCGUAAAGCGCGCGUAGGCGGCUUUGCAAGUCGAGUGUGAAAUCCCCAGGCUUAACCUGGGAACUGCAUUCGAGACUGCAUGGCUAGAGUAUGGGAGAGGGAAGUGGAAUUUCAGGUGUAGCGGUGAAAUGCGUAGAUAUCUGAAGGAACAUCAGUGGCGAAAGCGACUUCCUGGACCAAUACUGACGCUCAUGUGCGAAAGCGUGGGGAGCAAACAGG